GGGGGGGGGGGGGGGGGGGGGGGGGGGGGGGGGGGGGGGGGGGGGGGGGGGGGGGGGGGGGGGGGGUGGGGUGGCGGGGGGGUGGGUCGGCCGUGAGGGACCUGCCCUGUACUGUGGGCGACCUUCAGGAGACUGGGGCUAAUCCCCGCGAGGAGCUCCUGCUGCCUGUUGGGGGGUGGCACUUGUCUGCGGUUGGGUAUGGACUCGCGGCUUAUCCGCGUGUUGGUCGGGGAGUGGCUUACCAAGGCUUUGACGGGUAGCCGGCCUGAGAGGGUGACCGGACACAUUGGGACUGAGAUACGGCCCAGACUCCUACGGGAGGCAGCAGUGGGGAAUAUUGCACAAUGGGAGGAAGACUGAUGAAGCAACGCCGCGUGCGGGAUGACGGCCUUCGGGUUGUAAACCGCUUUCGCCUGUGACGAAGCGUGAGUGACGGUAAUGGGUAAAGAAGCACCGGCUAACUACGUG
rnacentral:rRNA from 1 species